rnacentral:miRNA from 1 species
GAGAGAGCACUUUUAUGACGGA